GCUUUCUAAUAUAAAUGUUUUUGUUUAGAGAUUAAUACAAGAUCGAAUGAUGAAUACUGGAUAUUGGCUGGAUAAUUUUGUCAGAACAACCCACUUGCAAGACAAUCUUACCUAAAUUCAUCAGUAUGGAAAAUAAGUUAUUGCUACAAUAAUCAUAUAUUAUAUGGAUGGAUCAGAUCAAUGGCAGACAAUGUACAAAACUAAACUUGUGAUACCUUCUACUCAAACAGAUAUUCUCCCACAACACAAAUUGUUUUU